rnacentral:tRNA from 1 species
GCCUCAGUGGCACAGUUUAGUGCUUGGGCUGCUAACCAAAAGUUUGGCAGUUCGAGUCCACCCAGAGGCU